UACGGGGGGGGCAAGCGUUGUUCGGAAUUACUGGGCGUAAAGGGCUCGCAGGCGGCCGACUAAGUCAGACGUGAAAUCCCUUGGCUUAACCAAGGAAUGGCGUCUGAUACUGGACGGCUUGAAUCCGGGAGAGGGAUGUGGAAUUCCAGGUGUAGCGGUGAAAUGCGCAGAUAUCAGGAGGAACACCGAUGGCGAAGGCAGGUCUCUGGGCAUUAACUGACGCUGAGGAGCGAAAGCCAGGGGAGCAAACGGG
rnacentral:rRNA from 1 species